UACGAAGGGGGCUAGCGUUGUUCGGAAUUACUGGGCGUAAAGCGCACGUAGGCGGACAUUUAAGUCAGGGGUGAAAUCCCAGAGCUCAACUCUGGAACUGCCUUUGAUACUGGGUGUCUUGAGUAUGGAAGAGGUGAGUGGAAUUCCGAGUGUAGAGGUGAAAAUUCGUAGAUAUUCGGAGGAACACCAGUGGCGAAGGCGGCUCACUGGUCCAUUACUGACGCUGAGGUGCGAAAGCGUGGGGAGCAAACAGGGAUUAAGAAACCCU
rnacentral:rRNA from 1 species